GGCAAUGUAAUCGUUCAUUCAUUGAAUUCAUUUUUAUCGUGCUACAAAAUGCGGAAGAGUUGCAUUGGGGGGACAUACAAUACAUACACAUAUAUGUAUAUGUCGCAGAAUAAUUUAAACAUUCAAAUUAUAACGAUUAUUUGUUGGUACACAUUUGUUUUAUUUCUUUGUGGUUCCCCUUUCUUUCGUGCGAGGCAGAUACGUAAUUCUGUCAACGUAGUCUGGCCGUGGGCAUGAGUGAGACAGAUAGUGUUCGUCAUAACUCACCACACUGUGCGUGUGUAUUGGAGGGUGAGAAGGAAUUGAGAAGGGAUCGACAUGAAUUAAAGAGGGAGUCGAGUUGUGAAAUUCAAUCAACAUGCCACGCGCCAGAAAACGUUUCGCCGAAAGUCCGGUCAAAGACUCGGAUAAUGAAUCCUCGUCAUCAGAAGUGGGAUUACCUCCGCCUCCAGCCGAUGAUGCAAAUCUUUUGUCAAUUUUGGAGAUGCAAAAUCAUAAUUUCGCUGAGCUAAUAAAACAAGUGCAGUGCUCUCAAAAUGAACCAAAAGAUGCCAAAAAUAUUGUUCUGCCAAAGUUCAACCCUGAUCGCGCAGGAUCAGACGCUCUCUCCUGGUGUUCAACGGUUGACUACAUCUUGUCCGAAAACCAGCUAGUGGGCAGCGCUCUUGUAAUGUCCCUCAGCAAAUCACUGGAAGGCACCGCAUCUCACUGGCUCUCGCAGACAUGUUUUCCCGGCAUUACGUGGACGCAGUUCCGAGAAUUAUUUUUGCAAUAUUUUUCUGGAACGGAGACUUUGGCCGCAACCGUUAUGAAUUUGCUAAAUGCACGCCCAAACGAAGGAGAGUGCUUGUCGCUGUAUGGAAGCAGAAUGGUCACAUCACUUAUGGCCCGCUGGAAGUCACUUAGCGUCGAGCAGAUUGCAGUAUCCGUUACGUUGGCACAUGCAGCUGGGAUAGACAAACGAUUGCGCCGUUUGGUUUUUACGACGGAUAUCAAAACCAGAAACGAGCUGCAUCAGGAACUCAAAGCCUUUUCGUUCGACACUAGACAGAACCAGCAUUCGAGUGACAACUUAUCAGCACCCCAAGGAAAAAGAGUCAGGACUAUGUCUCACAUCACAUGUCAUAAUUGUGGCAAACCCGGACACAAGAAGGCGGAAUGUCGCUUUAAUAAAGAGGCAACUCAGCGUCAGCAGCCCCGUAAUCAACAAUUUGGAGCAAAAGAUCGAUCAUCCGUGACCUGCUAUAAAUGUGGAAAAGCUGGACAUGUAUCUACUGUGUGCCCAGAUCGUCAGGAGCGUCCGCCGAUGAAGAGCAAUACCAUCAAAGACGUAAACAUAUGCACAGUACUUGAGCCCUUAGGAACGUUGCUGCAGUUUGGUGAGUCGUUCCAAUUUUACUUCGACUCCGGAGCCGAAUGUUCACUCAUCAAAGAGACUGCAUCACUGAGAUUAUCCGGCACUAGAAUAAACAACGUAGUGACAUUGAGGGGUAUAGGUGGCAACUCUGUUUGCAGCACUUUACAGAUAUUGGCGAAUGUUUUAAUUUGUGAGCAUUCUUUCGAAAUCUUGUUUCACGUAGUUUUAGACAAUCAUAUCAAAUACGACGCUCUGAUUGGUCGGGAAAUUUUGAGCCAGGGCAUCGGCGUGACAAUUACAUCAAGCGCGCUUACUAUGUUUAACGAAAAGUCUGUAUUACCUGUCGUAGUCUCCGAAUGCACUCCUGACCUGGCUAGUGUCGAUACCGAUUUACAUGGACAGGAUAAAGACAAACUGCUCUCAAUAUUACAGGGGUAUUCAAAUUCUUUUAUAAAUGGUAUACCACAGAGUCGCGUGACUACGGGACAGUUAGAGAUUCGCUUGAUUGAUCAGAAUAAGACGGUUCAGAGACGCCCUUAUCGAUUGAGUGUGGAAGAAAAAGAAAAGGUUAGACAUUCCAUUCAAGAGCUGUUGGAAGCAAACAUAAUAAGACACAGUUCCUCUCCUUUCGCGAGUCCGAUGUUACUUGUCCGCAAGAAAGAUGGUACAGACCGUCUGUGUGUUGAUUAUCGUGAGCUUAAUGCCAAUACCGUUUCCGACAAGUACCCAUUGCCACUUAUAUCUGACCAGAUAGCUAGGUUGAGUGAUGCUAGGUUUUUCACGUGCAUUGACAUGGCGAGUGGCUUCCAUCAGAUCCCAAUACAUCCAAGCUCUAUUGAACGGACAGCGUUUGUAACCCCAGAAGGGCAGUAUGAAUACUUGGCUAUGCCUUUUGGGCUUAAAAAUGCGCCUUCUGUAUUCCAGAGGGCCAUUAAUCGUGCCCUAGGCGAUCUGACUCAUACAUAUGUCAUCGUUUAUAUGGACGAUGUAAUGAUAGUUGCACGCACAAAGGAGGAAGCUUUCGACAGGCUAAAAAUAACUCUACAAGCACUCGUCGAAGCAGGAUUUUCUUUCAACAUUAAAAAAUGCUCCUUUCUUAAAUCUUGUGUAGAAUAUUUGGGCUUCGAAGUUAGAGCAGGUGAAAUUCGACCGAAUCCUAGAAAAAUACAAGCUCUUACAGAUUUACCGCCUCCGCAAUCUGUGACUCAACUGAGACAAUUUAUUGGACUGGUCUCGUAUUUUCGUCAGUUUGUACCCAAGUUUUCACAGUUACUGAAACCACUCUAUGCUCUAACUUCAAAAAGCAUGUCAUUUUCAUGGGAAUUAGAGCACGAGCAAAUACGACAGAAGGUAAUUUCAAUCCUGACUAGUGAACCUGUUCUUACUAUUUUCGAUCCACAAUUUCCUAUUGAGCUUCAUACAGAUGCGAGUGCCGUUGGCUAUGGCGCAAUUUUGUUGCACAAAAUCGAAAACAAGCCACGAGUUAUCGAAUACUUUAGUAAACGGACUUCGCCAGCGGAAUCGCGUUAUCACUCGUAUGAGUUGGAAACACUUGCAGUUUUCAAUUCUAUUAAGCAUUUUCGCCAUUACUUGUAUGGUCGACAUUUUAUCGUUUUUACCGAUUGCAAUUCUCUCAAGGCAUCUCGCACAAAAGUGGAACUGACUCCAAGAGUCCAUAGGUGGUGGUCGUACAUGCAAUCUUUUAAGUUUGACAUUCAGUAUAGGCCAGGCGAACGAAUGGCUCAUGUAGAUUUUCUGUCUCGAAAUCCCAUAUCAAAAGAUCGCAUCCAGUCAAAAGGUACAGUGGAAAAACAUAUAAAUUUAGCAGAGAUUACUGACAAAUGGUUGUUAGCUGAGCAGCAACGAGACGUAGAAACGUCGUCUAUUGUUUCUAAAUUGCGUAACGAUGAUCUUUCUGAGGAUUUGGCCAAAACGUACGAGUUAAGGGCAGGAACGCUGUAUAGGAAAAUUCAAAGAAACGGAAGGACUCGUUGUCUCCCUAUCAUCCCAAAGCCAUUUAGGUGGUCAGCUGUAAACAAUGUGCACGAGUCAAUUAUGCACCUUGGUUGGGAAAAAACCCUUGAGAAAAUGUACGAAUACUAUUGGUUUGACAAGAUGUCCAAAUACGUUCGCAAAUUUGUCGACAACUGUAUUACAUGCAGAUUGUCAAAGCCCCCAUCUGGUAGGGUACAAGCGGAGUUGCAUCCCAUACCAAAGGUUAACAUCCCGUGGCAUACAGUCCACAUCGACAUCACAGGGAAGCUUAGUGGUAAAAGUGAACAGAAGGAAUACAUAAUCGUGUCAAUAGACGCCUUCACGAAGUUUGUCUUUUUAUCUCAUACAUCGAGGCUAGACACCGAGAGCUGUAUUAAGGCAUUAAGAUCACAAAUAUCAUUGUUCGGCGUACCCUCUCGUCUGAUCGCAGAUCAGGGACGUAGUUUUUCAAGCACAGCAUUCCGUGAUUUCUGUUCGGUUCAAAAGAUAGAUUUGCAUCUGAUCGCCACGGGUGCUAGUCGGGCCAAUGGCCAAGUAGAGCGAGUUAUGAGUACUCUAAAGUCCAUGCUAACAGCGGUUGAGACAGGUCAGGGGUCAUGGCAAGAUGCUUUAUGCGAAAUUCAACUGGCUCUUAAUUGUACGCCCAAUAGAGUGACUAAGGUUAGCCCUUUAGAACUACUUAUUGGCAAAGAAGCAAGGCCGUUUGGUCUCGUACCUGUUGUUGAAAAUAAGAACGAUGUUGAUAUUGAUAAAGUUAGAGAAAUGGCUAAGCAAAACAUGGAAAAGAAUGCCAAAUAUGAUAAGGCUAGAUUUGAUAAAGAUAAGGCUACUAUUGUAAGACAUAAAGUCGGUGAUCACGUUUUGCUUAAAAACGAAGAGCGACAUCAGACAAAAUUAGACCCUAAGUUUAGAGGACCGUUUUUAGUAACCGAAAUAUUGGAAGGAGAUCGGUAUAAACUUAAGGCACUAACUAAUAAUAGAACAUAUAAAUAUUCUCACGAAUUUUUGAGGCGUAUGCCUGAGAAGGGGAUUACCACAGAGUUGGUAAUUAAUAUUGAAAUCUCCAGAAGGAAUUGAGAAGGGAUCGACAUGAAUUAAAGAGGGAGUCGAGUUGUGAAAUUCAAUCAACAUGCCACGCGCCAGAAAACGUUUCGCCGAAAGUCCGGUCAAAGACUCGGAUAAUGAAUCCUCGUCAUAUAUAUAUAAUAUAACACAGAUAGAAGAGAAAGAGACAAAGAAAGGGGGAGAGAGAGUGGAACCGACAAGGGCAACUCCAAUGGGGAGAGAGGCAAGUGUGUGUGUGUCGUGACAUUCGUCAAUUCUCUUAUCGCUCACUCUUGGGGGGACUUGGGGGGAAAAACUAACGUCAUUAAUGAAAAAUAAAAAUAUAUAAAUUAAUUAUAAAUUAAUAAUAUUGAAAAAUAAAAGUGCACACUAUUAGACAAUUACUAUUUUGAAAUGAAUAAAAUCUCAAUUAAUUUAUAGGUUUAUAGAUUUAUGAUCCCUAAUUUCCAAUCAAUUCUUUUUUAGGAUUUUAUUGUUUCAGAGUUCUAUUUGUGUCAAGUACUUGUGGCAAUUGUUUCAAUUUAUUUAAAAAACUAGUAUCUCCCUUUUUCGAAGACCAUUGACACCCUUCUUUCGAAUCAAUUAAAAUUGAAAAUUAUUGAAAACUGGGGGAGGAUUUUCGAGACAGAAUUUUGCUGAAAAUCACCGAUCCAACGACGUAAUAAUUGAGAGUCCGCCGUGGGCGGAGGACCCGGACCCGUAUCUCUUCCUCCCCCGAUCGUAUCUACAAUCCUAUAUAUAUAAACAGUAUCUCUGCGGGUUGGAGCGGUGCAACUUCCGGCUCUUUUUCGUUCCUGCCUCGUGUGGCAGUGUGCCAGAGUGGCAGAGUGGCAGUUGGCAUCCAAAUUGAACGCAAAUUGAUUUGUUGCAAUGUCCGGGGAGGGUGAAGGAGGUGGGGUUACUGUUCACAGACACAAGCCGGCUCUUUGCUGUCUGCCUCUAAUGGCUGCAAUUAAAUUUAUUGCCCCCCCACCGCCCCCCAGACCCCGACGAGGGGCCAAUUAAAAGUCAACCAACAACUAGUUCUCCGGAGAAUGGCAGAAGCAGAAGCAGAAUCAGAAGCUUUUGAAGCUAACUCACACACAAUGGAGACACACACACACACACACAGAGAGAAACAUAUGACAAUUAACUACACUGAAAUAAAUACAAAUAAAUAACUUAAAGAUACAAUACUAUUUAUUAAUUCAAGAGUUUAAUGAUCAAGUAUCUUUUUCAUUGAGAAAUAAAAAUUUAAAAAAAAAACUCUCCAUUUCAAUUCAAAAAUAAACAAUUUCCCAGCACUUCCUUCCAUUCAUUGACUCAUUCAGAUGUAGAUACUUUACGAUAUAGUAUAUAGUAUCUAUCAAUGCCAAAUACUUAUAAAUAGCUACGGCUACUACGGACAUCAGAUGCAGAUAAGAUGGCUUUUGGAUAGUUCGGUAAUCUACACACUUCUAUGGAUCGAAAAUCGAGUCUUUGAGUGGUUUUCAGAUACGUUUCUGGUUCUCAGCUACUUCUCCUCUGGUUUAUCUCUAUCUUUUGUGCCGGGCCUGUUUCUUAGUCUUCUUAGUCUCAACACAUGUACAUACAUAUAUGUAUCUAUAGACCCACACCACACCAGACCAGACCAGACCCGACCCAGCAUGAUAUGUAAUAAAAAAUAAAAAAAAAAUAUAUAAAAAAAAAGCAGCUGAUUCAAUUUAUCGAAAAGCCCCGCAGAGAGCACAGAGAUCAGCUGUGAUCUCUCAGAGAAGAGAGUCUUCCACUCUCUCUCCCACUCUCUGAAAGAAAGGUCAGUGCUCAUACACUUAACAAAAAAUAAACCUAUUUUAAGCUAUACUGGAAUUUAAUCUUUAUUAAAUUCAAAUAAUCUUUCAGUCCUAUCUUUAUAUCACAUACUUUCAUAUAUUUUAUUCAUUUCCACAAUUUAAUUUUAAGUUAUAUUCCUUUCAGUUAUUUUAAACUCAAUAUUAACUCCUAUUAUUUUUUUUAAAUAGGGUAAAGUUAAAGAAAAUAAGGCUAAACUUCAAAAUAGUUUCAAUUCAAAUAUAACUUUUGUACCCUUUUUAGUUUUUUCAAGCUCAACCUAGUAGUAGUAGAAAUUGCAAAAAUAUCUAAAAAUAAAAACUUGUAACCUAUGUAAAGCCAGCAGAGAGAGCAGAGAGAGGUAUCAUAGGAACGUGUGGAAACGGAACGAUCUUGCUAACGCUAUCAUAACGAACUCUUCAGUACGAUAGUCUCCCAAUCCGCUUCGAACACUCAACGCGAAGACAUCGACGAGCUCUGUAGUGCGUUCUAUGCGCCGGCAUAUCAUAUUGUUUUUUUUUGUAUUUUUUUCUUAUUGUUCUAAAAUAUUUCUGUGGAUGACGAAGAACAUCAUAAAUAUGCAUAUUAGUGGAGAUCUCUUUUGAGACACUCGCCGUCUAAAUCAAGAGUGUUGGAGAGUGGCUACCGUGAAGAGCAACAAAAAAUAGUGCUGUGCUCUGAAAUACUAUAAGAUACAAGAUACAAGAUACAAAAAUAAAAUCCGCAAACAAAAAUAAAUAAAAACACAACAAAUAAUUCACAAUAUAAUCGUCACUGCCAUAAAUUGUUCAAAAAACUGUUCAGAAAUGUGGAAAAUAAUGGGAAUGUCGGUAAUAAUUUUAUUGGUGGCUUCAGUAGCCCCUCUAGCCGGGAGUAC